rnacentral:rRNA from 1 species
UUUCCUACGGGAGGCAGCAGUAGGGAAUCUUCCGCAAUGGACGAAAGUCUGACGGAGCAACGCCGCGUGAGUGAAGAAGGUUUUCGGAUCGUAAAACUCUGUUGUCAGAGAAGAACAAGUUGGAGAGUAACUGCUCCAGCCUGGACGGUAUCUGACCAGAAAGCCACGCAUCGUCGG